CCCUUAGAUGUUCUGGGCCGCACGCGCGCUACACUGAUGCGUUCAACGAGUAUACAACCUUGAUCGAUAGGUCUGGGUAAUCUUGUGAAUGCGCAUCGUGCUAGGGAUAGAUUGUUGCAAUUUUCAAUCUUGAACGAGGAAUUCCUAGUAAACGCAAGUCAUCAGCUUGCGUCGAUUACGUCCCUGCCCUUUGUACACACCGCCCGUCGCUCCUACCGAUUGGGUGUGCUGGUGAAAUGUUCGGAUCGGCCGUUUGUCGCGGUUUCCGCGUCAUGUGGCUGAGAAGUUCAUUAAACCCUCCCACCUAGAGGAAGGAGAAGUCGUAACA
rnacentral:rRNA from 1 species